GAUGAACGCUGACAGAAUGCUUAACACAUGCAAGUCGAUGGGGAAGUGGUGCUUGCACCAUGGCAACCAUGGCGGACGGGUGAGUAACGCGUAAGGGACUUACCUGCAGGACUGGGAUAACAGGGGGAAACUCCUGACAAGACCGGAUAAUGUCAUGGAGCUGCAUGGCUUUAUGAUGAAAGGAGACGCCUGCGGAGAGCCUUGCGUCCUAUUAGCUAGUUGGUGAGGUAAUGGCUCACCAAGGCGAAGAUAGGUAGCCGGCCUGAGAGGGUGGACGGCCACAAGGGGACUGAGAUACGGCCCUUACUCCUACGGGAGGCAGCAGUGGUUAAUAUUGGACAAUGGGGGCAACCCUGAUCCAGCAAUUCUGUGUGAACGAAGAAGGUUUUCGGAUUGUAAAGUGCUUUCAGCAGGGAAGAAGUAAGUGACGGUACCUGCAGAAGAAGCGACGGCUAAAUACGUG
rnacentral:rRNA from 1 species